rnacentral:rRNA from 1 species
AUUGAACGCUGGCGGCAUGCCUUACACAUGCAAGUCGAACGGCAGCACGGGAGCAAUCCUGGUGGCGAGUGGCGAACGGGUGAGUAAUAUAUCGGAAUGUGCCCAGUAGUGGGGGAUAACUGCUCGAAAGAGCCGCUAAUACCGCAUACGACCUGAGGGUGAACGGGGGGGAUCGCAAGGCCUCUCGCUAUUGGAGCGGCCGUUAUCAGAUUAGCUAGUUGGUGGGGUAAAGGCCUACCAAGGGAACGAUCUGUAGUUGGUCUGAGAGGACGACCAGCCACACUGGGGAUGAGACACGGCCCAGACGCCUACGGGAGGCAGCAGUGGGGAAUUUUGGACAAUGGGCGCAAGCCUGAUCCAGCAAUGCCGCGUGCAGGAAGAAGGCCUUCGGGUUGUAAACUGCUUUUGUCAGGGAAGAAAUCCUCUAGGUUAAUACCCUUGGGGGGAUGACGGUACCUGAAGAAUAAGCACCGGCUAACUACGUGCCAGCCGCCGCGGUAAAAC